AUUGAACGCUGGCGGCAGGCCUAACACAUGCAAGUCGAACGAGUGGCGGACGGGUGAGUAAUGUCUGGGAAACUGCCCGAUGGAGGGGGAUCACUACCGGAAACGGUAGCUAAUACCGCAUACCAUCGGAUGUGCCCAGAUGGGAUUAGCUAGUAGGUGGGGUAACGGCUCACCUAGGCGACGAUCCCUAGCUGGUCUUAGAGGAUGACCAGCCACACUGGAACUGAGAAACGGGCCAGAAUCCUACGGGAGGCAGCAGUGGGGAAUAGUGCACAAUGGGCGCAAGCCUGAUGCAGCCAUGCCGCGUGGAUGAAGAAGGCCUUCGGGUUGUAAAGUACUUUCAGCGGGGAGGCGUUACCCGCAGAAGAAGCACCGGCUAACUCCGUGCCAGCAGCCGCGGUAAUUC
rnacentral:rRNA from 1 species